ensembl:lncRNA
AUAUACACACACAUACACUUAAGUAAUUUUCCACCCUGAUGAAGGUGUUAGAAAAGCUUUGAAUGCUAGCCCAUGUGGCUCGUCUGAAUUCUUAUGAAUUUGAAAGCAUGAGAGUGUUUGGGGAAUUAGUGCUGGUUUUCAAUGAGGGCAGAAAAGCUCACAGCAGAUUGCAGAACAUCAUAAUGGAUCAGAACAAUGCAACAUCAGACAUAAUCGUCUUCUACGUUUCCAAGAAAAUAUGAGUAGUAAUAGACCCUGGCGGCCAUUUUCCCUACUGGGCCACACAAUCGUUUUCAGACUCGGGUGCCCCGCCCCUAAACCAUGCCAAGUUUCACUCUUCAUGUAAUUUUAAGUUUCAUAAUCAUUCAGUCCUUGUAGAUAGAAGUAAAAGUCCUAUAAAAUAUGCAAACCUAUAUACAGAGAAAAAACAGAGCAAAGAAAAAAAAAUUUACAGUAUAUUCAGUAGUUUAUGUAUAUAUUUAUAUAUAAUAAAAUAAUAACACUUCUGCUCUGUUUCUUGGUAGGUUCUCAACCAUACAUUUUUAAAAUCAUGUAAACAGUUGUAGCUGAAACAUUGCAUGAGUGGAAAUCACAAAAAGCAGACAGUGAGACGUUGAGACAGACGCGCGGAGACGGAGCGAGGUAUGGGUUAAGAGCAGAAUGAGCACUUCAUGAUACAACUGUUUGAACAUCAUAGCGAGCUUUCUUAGUUUACCUGAACGCUUAUCUUUCCAAAGAGGUCCGGAUGGUGCAAUGCGACAUUCUUUUGAACGAAUUCUUCUCAAAAUAAUGAACUCGCUACCUGAAGCGAGUUCUGAAAACCGUUACCACCUGUAUAAUACAGUACAGUACAAUUCAAUCAAAAGCAUGACGACAAAAAGCAAGGCGCUGACCUUCUAAUGACGAUCCGCUAGAAAUUCGAAACGUAACGACCCGAGCAAAAUUCAUCUCAGCUCUUCGAACAACACUUGUAAACACACUGUGGAUGGAGAUGCGAAUAUUUAUUAAUUAAUUGACUUGUACGUAAUGCCCGCGUAAUCGGAAACCCUAAGCAAAAAAGAGUUUUGUAUCUUGCGAGUUGCAUUGCAACAGAUUGGCGCAUGUAAGAAGUAAGAAGCUGAAGGUUGCAAAAAAGAGCAGUGCCUCUGGCGAGUUUUGACAUCAUCAUCAUCGUUUUCGUCUUCAAUGGCGGCUAGCAGUGUUCGGAGCACAGUGCUAAUUAGUUAGAGGCAACCAGGUGACGCCGUGCACCUGUACCUACUGGCAACCCGACGCUACAUGCACUGACCACUGACGCAGGAGAUCCGAAGUGUCACGGUUCAAAUUAAAUCUGGCGCAAUACUGCAAUACGAUGUGUUUGUGUGGGUUUGCAAAGGUACACAAGAGGGCCGAGAGGCAGAUAUGUCUAAGAUAACGCAACGUUCCGUCCUAGUUCCAGUGGAAAUGAUCCUGAAUCUCUUGAAGCCUGAUUCUCUUGAAACUCUCCAACGAGAGGGAGGCCUUUUUGCAUUUCUCAAUAGCAUAUACACAUAUAUACAUCUAUCUCUAAACACACACUGCUUCAUAUGUGUGUGUGUGUGUGUGUGUGUGUGUGUGUGUGUGUGUGUGUGUGUGUUGGCAUACACGGUUAUCAGAAAGAGGAAUGCCUGCAGUUCGAGAGCUGCCAGAUAUGAGUCUCUUCCCGUUAAAUUCCAAGCCGAGCAGUGGUUCAAAUUCCAGCUUAAAUCUACAAAAAAAUUACAGUUUGACAUAUUGAAUAGCUGGUUCUAUGUAUAUGUACACACAUAUAAAAUAUAUGCAUAUAAAUACAUAUAGGUUUGGGGGUUAAUAUCAUAUGUAUCCAUAUAUACACUGGAGGUGUGCAUAUAUAUAUGAAUACAUUUCUUUUCCCAUGUUUUGCAAUACAUAUACAUAUUAAAUGUACGCUAAAUAGAAACGGGUUUGUUAUAUCUCAAACCUGCGUGGUUUUUUUUUUGUUUUUGUUUUUUUUGAACUACAAGGUCAGGAUGUUGAGAUUAAAAAAAGGUAAGGCUGCGAUAUGGAACAACCCUUCCCAUGUCCCCUUCAGCCCAAAUGAGAAGAGAAAAAAAAAAAAUAGAUAUAUAUAUUUUUUUCCAUUUGUAAACUAGCGAAGUGAGCAGCCUCCUCAGGGCAUCUCGUGUGAUUUUUGCCAGUAUUCAAAAGCAUAUCAGCAAUCUAUAUGUAUGCAUUUAUACAUAUAAUCUUAUAUAUUCUACAUAUACAUCUUUUUUUUUUUUUUUUUUCCGUAAAUACAACUCUUAAACCGAUUGGCACAGCAAAGGAGAUGCAGUGGUCUGAGUAUGUUACAGCUACGAGUCUUUCUUUUCUUUCUUUUUUUUUUUUUUUUUUUUUUUUUUUUUUUUUUUUGAAUCAAUAAAAAGGUUUGGUCUUUUUGGUCCCUACACAACUAAGGAAUGACGGAUUAAGUCUCCCAGAGGAGUGCGGCCGCAGUUCUUCGUGGCAGCUCUCGCCUCUGGAAACGGACAGGCACUCCGAGAUAAAGAUGGUCAUCCACAACUACACCAAGCUUGUUUCCUGAAGCGUCGCAUCCUUCCAAAAAGGUUCCUAUCAGGCAGGCUGUGGAGACUCAGAAAGGGAGAGUCCGAUAUGGUUGCGGAACACGGCGGCUCUCCUGAGUUUCCACCGGGUUCCUAAAGGUCCACUGAGCUUUUGCAGUGAUGGUGUGUCGUGCGCUGUGGCACCACUGCAUGUCCAACACACCCCUCAUUCUCACGUCCACACCCCCAGCCACGAUGAGCUUGUCCAUUUGUGUCACUUUUGUGUGUCAGUCAUGUUAUCAACACGUGUUCCCGCUCUACAAAACCUAGAAAGAAGGGGAAAUGGAAGAAAAAAAUGAAAUCAAUCACGUAUUCU